rnacentral:rRNA from 1 species
UACAGAGGGGGCAAGCGUUGUUCGGAAUUACUGGGCGUAAAGGGCGCGUAGGCGGCCUUCUAAGUCGAACGUGAAAUCCCCGGGCUCAACCCGGGAACUGCGUCCGAUACUGGAAGGCUUGAAUCCGGGAGAGGGAUGUGGAAUUCCAGGUGUAGCGGUGAAAUGCGUAGAGAUGUGGAGGAACACCGAUGGCGAAGGCAGCCCCCUGGGCUAACACUGACGCUCAGGCACGAAAGCGUGGGGAGCAAACAGG